rnacentral:lncRNA from 1 species
GGGAGGAGCUGCAUUACACACAGGCUUCGGAGGCUUCCGUGGAGAAGCUUGGAGGUAAUGGCUGUCGUAAAUGCUAGUUAUUUUCAGAGAGUUCUCGAAGAUUUGGAAUAAAGAUUAUCUUAAAAGUCCACAGUCGGAGAGGUGGUAAUCAACAUUACACCUGCGGAAAAAUAUUCUUAAAGAGCCGAGCCCCAGAAGGACAGUUCAACCACAGAAGUGCCGAGCCAGGUAAAGACCCUGCUGGACAAGCAGUUGGAGUGAGACUCAAGACAGCUGGACCACAGGACCAGACCCACCAGGAUCCACGUGACAGUGGCAUAGGUUAAUAACAGAGAUGCACAUGACCUGGGCAAUCUGCAUGUGAUACCAGCCAAGCCCCAGGAAGACAGUACAGCCACAGAAGUGCUGAGUCUGGUGAAGGCCCUUCUGGACAAGCAGUUGGAGUGAGAAUCAAGACAACUGGACCACAGGACCAGACCCACCAGGAUCCACGUGACAGUGAGUAAGACUCUUCCAAUGUCACAAAACAUUUCACGGUAGAAACAUGUUGAGAACUUGGAGAAUAAUGUAUUUUGCCUCCUGCUCUACAGCCAUCCUAGCAUUUUAAAUUAAAAGUCAUAUUUCCUGUUAGAAUCAUGUUAGGUUGAUAAUUUGGGGUACAAUUCAUUUUGCUCCCUGUUCUGCAUUCAUGACACUUUAUAAUUAAAAGUCGUAACUUCUAGUUUGGAGAAGAAUCUCACUUUUUAAACCUUUAUGAAGAAAUCACCCAAGAGGCUAUUCAGGUGUCUUCCUGAGGUUCAGGCCAGUGGCCUGACUCUCCAAUCCUUUGUAAUGAUCCUAUCCAACAAGUUGUCAUAGCAGUAAUUCUGACUCUCUGCCUUCUAAAAUUAUGCUUUUAGAAGAGUCAUUGUAUUUUUGUCUGGGUCCAGGAGAUACAGACCCUGUUGUCUUUGUCUGCCUGCUCUGGGGGAACAGUGGAGCACUUGGAGCUUAAAAAACAUAAA